ACCUGGUUGAUCCUGCCAGUAGUCAUAUGCUUGUCUCAAAGCUUAAGCCAUGCAAGUGUAAGUUCACGCCACGCUUUAGAACGGGCGAAACCGCGAAUGGCUCAGGAACCGGACCUAAUCCUCGGGACCGUAAUCCUCCUCGGAGGCGUUGGAUAACUGUGGCAAUUCUAGAGCUAAUACAUGUGACACAAGCCGCGAUCGGUCGCCGCAUAGUGGUCGCCUCGCCUCGCGCGCUGGCACCCGCGGCGUCCGCCUUGGGUCGCGGCGCUACAUAUUAGACUGAGACCGAUGCACUCUUUAGGUCGUUUCCUUCGGGUUUCGRYUGACGGGGUGCUCCGCUUUGGUGACUCUGGAUAACUCACUGGUCGAUCGCACGGGUCUCGCACCCGGCGACGGGUCCCCCGAGGGUCCGCCCUAUCAACUGUCGACGGUCGGUUAAGUGCCUACCGUGGUUACUACGGGUAACGGGGAAUCGGGGUUCGAUUCCGGAGAGGGAGCAUGCGAAACGGCUACCACAUCCAAGGAAGGCAGCAGGCGCGCAAAUUACCCACUCCCGGCACGGGGAGGUAGUGACGAAAAAUAACGACGCGGGACUCUGUCGAGGCCCCGCGAUCGGAAUGAGUACACUUCAAAUCCGUUAACGAGGACCAACCGGAGGGCAAGUCUGGUGCCAGCAGCCGCGGUAAUUCCAGCUCCGGUAGCGUAUAUUAAAGUUGUUGCGGUUAAAAAGCUCGUAGUCCGAAUUCGGGUUUGUGGUCGCUCACGCGGCCCCGGGGCGGCGGCGCCAUCGUCCAUCGUUGACUUUGGUCGUCCGUUCGCAUUCCCGGCCCUUUCCGCCGGUGUCGAUCGCCAUACGGUUCGGACCUGGAUGGCUYUCGGGUUGUUCGGGCGAGGAUCGGCGGUCUCUCCUCCAAGGGUGCUCUUAACCGAGUGUCCGCGGCGGCCGGUACGUUCACUUUGAAAAAAUUAGAGUGCUCAGAGCGGGCUGUACAAGCUUGCAUACGAUAAGCAUGGAAUGAUGAAAGAGGGCCUCGUCUACGUCUGUCGGUCUCCGUCUGUGGCGAGGCAAUGAUCGAAGGGAGCGGUCGGGGCCACUCGUAUUGCGACGUUAGAGGUGAAAUUCUUGGAUCGUCGCAAGACGAACUGCAGCGAUGGCGUGUGGCAAGCACGUUUUCCUCGAUCAAGAGCGAAAGUCGGAGGUUCGAAGACGAUCAGAUACCGUCGUAGUUCCGACCGUAAACGAUGCCGACCGGCGAUCCGCCGGCGUUCGCUUCCAUGACCCGGCGGGUAGCCUGCGGGAAACCAGAGUUCGGUUCCGGGGGGAGUAUGGUUGCAAAGCUGAAACUUAAAGGAAUUGACGGAAGGGCACCACCAGGAGUGGAGCCUGCGGCUUAAUUUGACUCAACACGGGAAAACUCACCCGGUCCGGACACCGGUAGGAUUGACAGAUCGAUAGCUCUUUCUCGAUUCGGUGGGUGGUGGUGCAUGGCCGUUCUUAGUUGGUGGAGCGAUCCGUCUGGUUGAUUCCGAUAACGAACGAGACUCCGGCCUGCUAACUAGUGUGCCGAUGUAAGUGCGCUUUCCYUCACGGGAUCGCGUGUGCGGGCGCGGCGCGGUCGGUCUAACUGGCUGUCGUCGUGUUCGGGUCGGUUUCUCACGCACUUCUUAGAGGGACGGGUGGCAGAAAGCCACACGAGGCGGAGCGAUAACAGGUCUGUGAUGCCCUUAGAUGUCCGGGGCCGCACGCGCGCUACACUGGAGGUAUCAGCGGGGACUUCGCCCCGGCCCGAGAGGGUCGGGAAACCUCUCAACCACCUCCCGUGAUAGGGAUCGGGGCCUGUAACCAACCCCGUGAACGAGGAAUUCCCGGUAGGCGCGGGUCAACAGCCCGCGUCGAUCACGUCCCUGCCCUUUGUACACACCGCCCGUCGCUACUACCGAUCGAACGGUCCGGUGAGGUCCUCGGAUCUGGCUGACGACGCCGACCCGUGUGCCGCGUUUCGGCGUGGUGCCAUUCGGUGUUCGACGCCUGGAGAAGACGACCGAACCCGAUCGUUUAGAGGAAGUAAAAGUCGUAACAAGGUUUCCGUAGGUGAACCUGCGGAAGGAUCAUUA
rnacentral:rRNA from 1 species